UGCCAGUGACGUGAGAAAGUUUAACAGCUGAUUACAAACAGGUGCUGAUGCCAGGUCAUUAUUCCAUUAUUUUGUCAAGAUCGUUGUUUUCGUCAGAAACUGUGGAUUUAGGCGAACAGGACUGGCUAGCUCGGGCCGCUGAUUGCCGACCUUCAAACUCGAGCCACAGUUUGACAAGGUCAGCCUGGAAUCAAUCAGUGCAAGUGUAAUCACAAGUCAGCGCUUGUGAUGAAGACCUCUGUGACGAAGGUGCAGGCCUCUGGUGGUUGGCUGACGCUGGAGAGCGCUGAGAGUGCCGGGCUCAUUCUGCGUCGUGCGCUGUGACAGACAGAGUGACUCAGCGCUUUAUGGAAACGCCUUUUUCAGGAGCGGAAGUGUUUGUUCUCUCUCGGUCAUUCCUGGGGGGGGGCAGUGAAACACGCAACGUUUAGGCAAUGUGGGAAUUCGACAUGUGGAACCCGCAGCCAAUGCCGCCCCCCCGCACAUGGAAUCUGUGCGCUUUAACACCCCCCCCCCCCGGUGUGGGUGCUGGUAUCGCAGGGAUUAGUUUCUCCGGGGAGGCACUGCUCAGCUGUGGAAUCGCAUGGCGAUCAUAACUUCCCAUCCAUACUGACCGCCCUCUUUUCCGAUUGGAUCUCGUUUUGUGCCCUUCGUCCUCAUUGGGCAGCUUCAGAAAUACAGGGAGUCUUGGGUUUUGUUCUGUUUGUUGAGAAAUGUGCGGAGUCCUUGGGUUCUGUGUGCGGUUGCACCAGCUUUUCCUACGUUCUCCCAUAAGCUGGAACAUAAAGCUCACACUACAGUCUCAGUAGCUACUAGUUAGUUUACGACCUAGUAGCUACUAAACUUUUUUGUAACGUUUCCUUAACACAAAACUUAGUUACUAGGCUCUUUGUAAAGUAAUGUCCAGUCGCACUUGAUUAUGUCGAUGUUGAUUGAUCGAAUACCUGAAUGGACGUACUCUAACUGCUUCCUUCUUUUGCCAAAGUUGCAGCCACCAUAGACUGCAAUGGAGAGAUCGAGUGCCAUUUUCUAGCAAACAAAAGGGCUUAGUCAUAUUUUCAAGUCAUGCCAAGUUCAAUUUCCGGCAGUUCUUCAAAAUGGGGAGAGAAAAAAGAAUUCCAAAAGCGUAUGAAUCCAGUGAUCUAUAGAAGGUGCUCUUUGGAAGGGAUCUGUUCAAUUGGUUGAUAAUAUGAAAAAAAAAAAAUCUUCUUUAGUAUAAAUUUUUAAGAUGCCUUCAUUAAUACCGCAUGUCCACAGAGUUUAUAACAAGAUUAUUUUAAAAGCAUUUUCUACCUACAGGUUUUGGCUUAUUUAGCCUUUUUUCUUGCUUUCAACUAAUUCUUCAGUUCUGAAUGUCGCCCUUUGUCCAAGUUCAGUACAGAGCCUGAACACGUCCAGCACUGUAACACUGAAGAUGUUCAGAGGGCGGGAACUCACAUUGACCUGAUUCUUCCGUGCUCGUGUUAGAACUGACGAUGAUUUCCAGUGCACUCGAACGCUCAUGGCCACAUGGUGCUGUGUGUCAUUUACUCUGCAUUUCCCUGGGUGCUCAGAUCAACAGCAUACACAGAUGCCCAAAACACACACAGCAGAUGUAACACAACCGUAGCUCAGUGUGUAACAGUUGUAAUAGACACACAUCAUAGAUCUAGAAAAACAAAUGCUGUGCAGGGUGAUUUAUCAUAGGGGUCGAGACCAACCACGUGAUUAGGACAUGUCCUUCACCCGUUCUGCCCUCAGAUACCUGCUCCCCCUCCUCCUGCUUUUGGAGAAUAAAUUUAUCCAGAAAAGACAUUGUUGUGUUUAACAGAUAACAUUUUUUCUAAUACUUUAGUUAGAUGUAUGUUUAUUGAAGAACUCAAAAAGCAGUCAAGCAUAUUGGAUGGGCACCUAAAUUAUUUAGUGGGCGGGUUGACUGCGCUUCACAGAGCAAACAUGGCUGUGCCUCCAGAACUACAAACAUGGCUGUGCUUCCAGCAGUACAAACAUGGCUGUGCUUCCAGCACUACAAGUGAAGAGGAAUCAGCCUGUGGGAGCCUCUCUCAGCGUCUGCUGCCUCCAGACGGCUCCUGCUAGCUGCAGAUGCCUGCUCGUGUGUCAGAGUGGCGG